AUACAUAGAUGCACAAAUCGUCUCGUCAAUAGAUUCUGUUGUGAGACGUAAUGAAGCUGAUACUGGUUGUGGCUUUGCUUGUCUGCCUUCUGGCGAUCAACGAUGAUGGGCUCCACACCCGCUCCAGCCCGUUUUACUGGAUGUUCUGGAGAAGUACGACAGUUUGCAUCAAGAGUGAAGCGAGCAACUUGUCUAAAUGUCCCGGAGUCUUUGACAUUCACUACCUUGGCAAACCCAAUUCUGUUGUGAGACGUAAUGAAGCUGAUACUGGUUGCGGCUUUGCUGGUCUGCCUUCUGGCGAUCAAUUCUGAUAAGCUCCACACCCGCUCCAGCCCGUUCUACUGGAUGUUCUGGAGAAGUACGACAUUGUGCAUCAAGAGUGCAGCGGGGCACUUGUCUAAAUGUCCUGGAGUGCAAACGAACUUUCAACAUAACUGGGAUCCUCUAGGCAAGAGAGCCGUAGAGGAUAAAGAGGGGGACGAUGACCAGUUAGAGAACGAAGACCUUGUUAGCGCAAGAGAUGUCUAUGAGGCUGUUGAUGCAGUUGACAAAGCAGACAACAGUAUUCAUAGUAUUCGACAGCCAACCGAGUAACGGAUUAUGGGCAACUCUCUGAUUUACUCCAGUAGACCUGAGACAAAGCGAUCUCCCUGAUCACCUGAAGAUAAUAAAACCAUGAAGC